UACGUAGGGUCCAAGCGUUGUCCGGAAUUAUUGGGCGUAAAGAGCUCGUAGGCGGUGUGUCGCGUCGGAUGUGAAAGCCCGGGGCUUAACUUCGGGUCUGCAUUCGGUACGGGCAUGCUGGAGUUCGGUAGGGGAGACUGGAAUUCCUGGUGUAGCGGUGAAAUUCGUAGAUAUCGGGAGGAACACCAGUGGCGAAGGCGGCGAUCUGGGCAGUUACUGACGCUGAGGUGCGAAAGCGGGGGGAGCAAACAGG
rnacentral:rRNA from 1 species